AGGGUUUGAUCAUGGCUCAGGAUGAACGCUAGCGGCGGGCCUAAUACAUGCAAGUCGAGGGAGAAAUUUAAUUUAUUAGAUGGAGAUCGGCGCACGGGUGAGUAACACGUACACAAUCUACCUUCAACAGGGGAAUAGCCCCGGGAAACUGGGAUUAAUACCGCAUAAUAUCUAAGAUUCACAUGAAUCUAAGAUUAAAACUUUGGUGGUUGAAGAUGAGUGUGCGGGACAUUAGUUAGUUGGUGAGGUAACGGCUCACCAAGACGACGAUGUCUAGGGGUUCUGAGAGGAUGAUCCCCCACACUGGAACUGAGACACGGUCCAGACUCCUACGGGAGGCAGCAGUAGGGAAUAUUGGGCAAUGGAGGCAACUCUGACCCAGCCACGCCGCGUGAAGGAAGAAGGCCCUCUGGGUCGUAAACUUCUUUUAUAUACCAAGAAACCUUCCCACGUGUGGGAACUUGACGGUAGUAUAUGAAUAAGCACCGGCUAACUCCGUGCCAGCAGCCGCGGUAAUACGGAGGGUGCAAGCGUUGUCCGGAUUUAUUGGGUUUAAAGGGUACGUAGGCGGAAUAAUAAGUCAGUGGUGAAAUCCCGUAGCUCAACUAUGGAACUGCCAUUGAAACUGUUAUUCUUGAAUUCGGUCGAGGUAAUUGGAAUGUAACAUGUAGCGGUGAAAUGCUUAGAUAUGUUACGGAACACCGAUAGCGAAGGCAGAUUACUAGACCGAUAUUGACGCUCAGGUACGAAAGCGUGGGGAGCAAACAGGAUUAGAUACCCUGGUAGUCCACGCCCUAAACGAUGAACACUCGAUGUUAGUGAUAUACAAUUAGCAUCCAAGCGAAAGCGUUAAGUGUUCCACCUGGGGGAGUACGCUCGCAAGGAGUGAAACU
rnacentral:rRNA from 1 species